GCAAAUAAUAUUUCAUGAAUAAAUUAAAGAACUUUUGUUUAUUAAAACAAGAAACUGUUAGACUUACAACUGUGUUAAAUAAUAAACAUAAUGUAAAUAAUAAUGAGUCCAUCAAACCAAUCUCCAAAGACUCUACUUGUCAGUGCCACAACAGUUUCAGACGUAACCAUCAAGUUCCACAAAAACGCUGUCACAAUAAGUCCAACCAACAUCAACACAACAAUCGACAGAUGAUAACUACAUUUAUGUUGACUACAAAGCAUGACGAAAGACAUCACAACACAUAUUGUCAUUCAACACCACUAGGCAGUUAAAAUAGUGUCCUCCAUUUGCAUAAUCAACUGCAUUAACAAAAAAUAUUAGCAAGAAAUAAAGAAAUAAAAAAUUAUUAAUUUUUGUUUCUCCUAUGUGAUUAAUUUUGUUAUAAAUGACAACACCAACAGUCUUAUCCAAAAAAAAAAAAAUUCCUUUUUCUUUUUUUCUUCUUUUUGUCGUUUAUUCACUAUACUCUCGACCAU
rnacentral:lncRNA from 1 species